CAAGGCUCUGGUUUUUGGCUUAACUGCUUGGGUGCUCAGUGAGGAUUGGUGCGCAGAGGAUUCCUACUCUCUGUGCUUUGUGGUUGUGCCACACGCCGUGGCUCUGUCCGUGCUCCUUGCAGCCUGUGCUGUGCUGUGCUGUCGCCUCCCAGUCCUCCCUUCCCAUUUCCCUCCAUUAUCCCUCUGCUUUCCUUCUGCGCUUCUCCGGGUAAUUCUCCUUAAAACCUGCCUACUUCCAGAUGGUUUUGUUUUUGCAGACACGAUGCCCGAAGCUCAUGAGUGGAGAACAGCAAGGAUUUUUUUUUUUUUUUUUUUUCCAUGAACACUGAUCCCAAAAUACAGCAAGGAGGACAUGCGGGGAGUUCUGAAAUGUCUGUUUCUCCCAGUGGAGCGCACUCAGGUACACGCAUAGAGCAGCUGGGCUCUCAGACUACACAGAGGAAACAUGCUACAGAAUGAAAGUCACCAAAGGUCUGCCAGGACGGCUGUGCUGGAGCAGAUGAGUGGGUCGGUGAGCAGGAGGAUUGGGUUGGGAAACAAACCAGAAGUGCGAUUAGGAUAUGGAAGGCCUUGGCUGCAAAAGUUCAAGGGAAGAAAACUUGGAGUACUCGGUUGGCAUGGUGAUGAGAAGGGCGGUCAGGUGAUCUCGUCCCUAUUUUUCUCAUCUGCUGACUGAUUUAACAAACGUGGGCCCAUCUGGUGGUUAUUAAGUGAUUGCCUCUCAAGGUCUCACCUUGACAGAUAAUCUAGUUGGAGAAGGGAGCGGGUUCUUCCUUCCCAUUUUGCAUCUGCUGCCCUUGGAACAGAUGCCUCGAAGAUCAACCUGUGAUUUAUAGCACCAGAGUUGGGUGUGGGAUCUCCCUGAUAACUCACAGAGGUUCUUGGUCCUGAAGAAUCUGAUACUGACCACCGCACAGGGAGGAAACAGGAUGAGCUGAACCGCAUGCCAAGUCUAAUAGAGCUAUAUUUAUGUUCUGAAAAACUCCUGACUAUAAGUGGAAGCACCUCCUGGCAACAAAACCUGGUGCAGGCACACUGGCAUUGCACAGCCUCGGUAGCAGCACGUGUUGGUGUGUCCCAGAUCUUCUAUGGAGUCUCUUCAGUGCGCUCCUACACACCUGUGAACCUCAGUGAACCUGACUGCAGCUCCUUCCUGCACUUGCCUGUCCUUCCCAAGCCUCGUGUGGGUUCACUGAGGUCAGAUACAGUGCUGGGCCAAGGGGUUGUCAGCAUCAUUGCCGGCAGAGAUGGGAACUGUUUAAAAGCAGGCAGCUGAGGCUAAACAGGAUUAAACAAGCACCAGUUCUGCAGCUGCAAAUACCAUGCACUGAAUGCUUUCCCUUAGCGGGCUGUGGGAAUGCUCAGUGGUGCAGCGAGGUGCAGCUGCCUUUCAGGGAAGAUGGCCUCCAUGGGUGAUGUCCCACGGUGCCGCGUUCAGUGCCCCAUGAUGGUGCCUGCAGGCUCCCAGUGGGGGUGGGGGUGUACCCUGCAUUGGUCAGUGAGAGGUGGCAGCAGUACAUCAGUGCUAGAAGAAACAGAAGGACUUUCUGCCUUUGCCCUCUCUUCCCUCUCAUUGGUUUGUAAGCUGCUGUGUGUGUGAGAAACAGCGCAACCUGAAUCUCCCGGUGGAUUUCCCAGCCCUGUGCAGGGAGGGGGGGCCCAAAAGCAUGUGAAGCACACAGAGCCAGCCUGGUGCUUCCUCAUCGCUCUGGAUGAUAUGUCCGUGCUGGCACAUGCUGCCACUAUGUCCUCUGCUUUAAACAUUUAGUAGCAUAAGUAAGAGUCACCUCAGCCAGCCUCUGACCAGAGCUGAAGCAGAUGCUCAGGAGAGGAUAAAAUUACAGCAGGUAUAGGAAAAUACUGCUGUUAUUAUACACCCCCAAUCUCCUGGGAUGCUGCGGUGCAAAGGCUUCUUCAGCUGGGCUGCACUUUCGUUGCAGAGUCCAACUUAUUUCACUGUACCAUUCUUCUGUAGAAUGAUCCAGUUACUUUGUGAUCCUAUUUUUACGUUUUGGAGUCCAGGCCAUGUUGGGAUAAGGAGGUCUCAAACCUAUUUAGAAGUUGUACUCUGGUG
rnacentral:lncRNA from 1 species